UACGUAGGGUCCGAGCGUUGUCCGGAAUUACUGGGCGUAAAGAGCUCGUAGGUGGUUUGUCGCGUUGUCCGUGAAAACUCACAGCUCAACUGUGGGCGUGCGGGCGAUACGGGCAGACUGGAGUACUGCAGGGGAGACUGGAAUUCCUGGUGUAGCGGUGGAAGUGCGCAGAUAUCAGGAGGAACACCGGUGGCGAAGGCGGGUCUCUGGGCCGAUACUGACGCUGGAGGAGCGGAGAGCCAGGGGACGCAAACGGG
rnacentral:rRNA from 1 species